CCACAGCAUGUUUCCUUUCCAGCAGCAGACAGGAUGUUAGCUGUCAUGGGUGUUAAUUAGCCGCAACACGAUGCUCCUGAUUUCCAUCAGUGCAUCUUUCGGUUUGAGACUCUCUCUUCUCAGACACAGUUUUUAACAGGGUCACAGCACUGAAGCCCCCAUCCCUCUGAGGUCUCCUCUGGGUGCAACUUUUUUUUUAAUUAUUAUUAUUUUAAUGAAGAAUCCUGUAUUCUACAAGCAUCCCAUUAGCACCACUGGACAUUUAUGAAGUUUGUCCAGAGGUCCACAGUGCUGACGGACUCAGCUAAGUCCUAGGCAACAUUGCACAUGCUGCUGCAUUCCUUGUGGCACAUAAAUAGGAAUAGCUCUGUGUGUGCAGAAAGGUCAUGAAAACCUUUUCUGGCUUACCUCAGAGCUACAUUUAGAAGUAAAAUUAAAUGAUUAACUGUUUAGAGAUAAGCUGAUUAUGACUAAGGCUUGGACACAUAAUAAAAGUUAUGCUAUUUUAAACAAGAUGUGCUGGUGGAAGUACAGGUUCUGCCCUGUGUAGAACAGCUGUUCAGGUCAGCAUCUGUGAGGUCAGCAUCUGUGAGGACAGCAGCUGCUGCCCAGCAGCUUGUGGCUUGGGUGUGGCUUGUCAUUGGCCACCUCAUGAGCACUCUGCUCCCACCAGUCGGCAGGUGAAACAGAGCAAGUCCAGCAGCUUUAGACCAUGUCUGCAGACAGCAAGUCUGGAGUGUUGCCCAAGAUCGCAGCAUUUUUUGAGACACAAAUGACAUUUUUCAUUUUAAGGCUGAUUAGAGUGUGCUGAUCACAGACACUCAAAAAUCACUUUUCAUAGGGCCUUGUGGGCCUUCUCCAUUGCUUCAUGUCACAGUGAAGACACCAGUGACUUGGUCAGGAGAUUGUGAGGACUGUGUGUGCAGCACAAAGUAAAAUUGGUCUGACCUGACUUUCACAACUUCUGCACCUCAGAGGUUUUGUGUACUUGUUGACUCCAAUGUAUUCAGUAGAAAUGAUACUUUAUUUUGUAAGAUGAGCUGAUUGAAGGCCUCGGUGGCCAUUAGUGCUGUGAGGCAGAUGCUGAAUAAACUGGGGCUCUGUCCAGGCUGCUGGGAUUAG
rnacentral:lncRNA from 1 species